UAGAUGCUGCGUAGUGCGAGAGACAAUACAUCCCUUGGGCCAAUGUAUUUCUCUAGGGAGCUGUCCCUACCGGAGCCCUGGUUUCGGCAUACGGCGCCCACCUGCUUACGCGGGCCUUAGAGGAUGACUUCGUCGAACGGCUAUCGCGGCAUCACC
rnacentral:other from 1 species